UAGCAAUAUUGUCUUAGUGGCGAACGGGUGAGUAACGCGUUGGUGACCUGCCUCGAAGAGAGGGAUAACAGUUCGAAAGGAUUGCUAAUACCUCAUGUGGUUGCUUGGGUUAGAGACCUUGCAACUAAACGGAUUUAUUCGCUUCGAGAGGGGCCUGCGUCCCAUCAGCUAGUUGGUAGGGUAAUGGCCUACCAAGGCGAUGACGGGUAGGGGACCUGAGAGGGUGGCCCCCCACAAUGGAACUGAAACACGGUCCAUACACCUACGGGUGGCAGCAGUAGGGAAUAUUGGUUAAUCUGGGAAACCGGGAACCAGCAACGCCGCGUGCGCGAUGAAGGCCUUCGGGUUGUAAAGCGCUUUUAGAGAGGAUGAGGAAGGACAGUACUCUCUGAAUAAGCCUCGGCUAACUACGUGCCAGCAGCCGCGGUAAAACGUAGGAGGCGAGCGUUAUCCGGAUUUACUGGGCGUAAGCGCGUGUAGGCGGUUUGAUAAGUUGGAUGUGAAAGCUCCUGGCUUAACUGGGAGAGGUCGUUCAAAACUGUCAGACUUGAGAGUGGUAGAGGGAGGUGGAAUUCCGGGUGUAGUGGUGAAAUGCGUAGAUAUCCGGAGGAACACCGGUGGCGAAAGCGGCCUCCUGGACCAUUUCUGACGCUCAGACGCGAAAGCUAGGGUAGCAAACGGGAUUAGAGACCCCGGUAGUCCUAGCUGUAAACGAUGU
rnacentral:rRNA from 1 species